CCUGGAGCGGUCGCAGCCGCCCGCCCGGCGGCCUGGGCCUCAUUACGGCCGGCCCUUAUCGCGGCGUGCAUCACAUUAUUUCAUUUCAAAGAAUCCACAGAGAAGCCGGUCCCCGGCCGACAACAGAAAGUAAAAACACAGCUGACUCCCAUUAGGGCCCUCUCACAGGCUCCGCGUGAGGCAGCAUUGCUCACUUCUCUGAGGACAGCCCUGGGAAGGAAGGAGAUGAACAUGGGGUGGCAAUGGAAGUCACUUUGGCCUUUGUCGCCCUCUGGAGUCUGUUGUUCUGCCCAAACGUCCUGCCCCAGACAGAUCCGUUGCACUUAAAUGGAAAGUUGUGAACAUGUUGGUGGGAAGAGAUGCUGCAGGCCUUAUCAGCCAAGGAAGUCUGCCUCCUGCUCUCCAAUACCCAGGGCUCCAGCUCCAAGGAGGUUUCGGGUUUCAGAGAAAUGAACUAAGCAGUCUCUUCAACUCCUGGAGAAGAGGACAGAGUGGGACUGAGGGUUUGGGCUGUGUCACUGCCCUGGUGCCCCUGACCCUCUUACACUCACAGAUGGCAAUCAUUUGCUUUUUCAAACCAGAAUAUGAGAAUUCUUGAAUCUUGAGAUCUGAAAAUUCAGGGAUCUUCAAUUCUGGAUAAAUUCUUAGGCUACCAGAACCUUAAAAGUUAUUGAACCUUAAACUUAUAGAAGCAUACAAUUCUAAAAUCUCCAAACUAGACCACUGUGUCCAAGGAAGAGACUGGAUCCAUCUCCACACUGUAUGCUUUUAGGUAAGUUAUUUAACCUCCCUGUGCAUCAUUUUCUUAUCUGAAAAAUGAGGCAAUAAUAAUAUCUACUUCCUAGUGCUGCUGUGUGCAUUGCUUGAGUUACUUGUGGAAAGCAUUUUCAGUAGUGCCUAGCAGGGACUUUUGUUCAAUAGCCACAAAGGAUUGAAUUCCACCAACAACUUGAAUGAGCUUGGACAAGGAUUAAGAGCUUCAUAUGAGAUGGUAGCCCCAGCCAACACAGAGUUCAGGUUGGUAACCCCUGAGCGGAAAACUCAGUCACACAAUGUCUGGACUUAGAGAACAGUUUGUGGGCUAAUAAAUGGCUAUUAUUUGUAGCCCCUAAAUCUGUAGACAUUUGUUACAUGUCAAUAAAACACCUCCCAGACAACAUGGCAGACCAUCAUCUCUAUAACAUUCUAUUGGUUAAAGCAGUCACAGGGCCAUACCAAAUUCAGCCUGGGGACUUCACAAGGCCACAAAUA